rnacentral:rRNA from 1 species
GACGAACGCUGGCGGCGUGCUUAACACAUGCAAGUCGAACGGAAAGGCCCCUUCGGGGGUACUCGAGUGGCGAACGGGUGAGUAACACGUGAGUAACCUGCCCUUGACUUCGGGAUAACUUCAGGAAACUGGGGCUAAUACCGGAUAGGAAUCCUUGCUGCAUGGUGGGGGUUGGAAAGCUUCGGCGGGUUUGGAUGGACCCGCGGCUUAUCAGCUUGUUGGUGGGGUAGUGGCUCACCAAGGCUUUGACGGGUAGCCGGCCUGAGAGGGCGACCGGCCACAUUGGGGCCGAGAUACGGCCCAGACUCCUAAGGGGGGCAGGAGUGGGGAAUAUUGCAAAAUGGGCGGGAGCCUGAUGCAGCGACGCCGCGGGCGGGAUGACGGCCUUCGGGUUGGAAACCGCUUUCAGCAGGGGCGAAGCUUGUGGUGACGGUACCUGCGGAAGAAGCACCGGCUAACUACGUG